GAUGAGGAACGUAGCGAAAUGCGAUAAGUAAUGUGAAUUGCAGAAUUCAGUGAAUCAUCGAAUCUUUGAACGCACAUUGCGCCCUUUGGCAUUCCGAAGGGCACACCUGUCCGAGCGCCGUCGCACAACUGAGGCGCAGCCUUGCGUUGGCGGGCGACUUGUGAGUAGCGAGUCGCCGCCCAAACGAGACGGCGCCGCGCCGCGGCCGACGAAGCACGAAAGCGGAAGUCGACGCGGAGGCGGUUGCCUGUAGGAAGACACAGCUUGGCCUCGGAUCAGGUGGGGAUACCCGCUGAACUUAAGCAUAUCAAUAAGCGGAGGA
rnacentral:misc_RNA from 1 species